rnacentral:lncRNA from 1 species
AUGCUUUGGGGACUUAUUGACAAGAAGGAGAACAUGGCGUGCGAAGGAGGGAGGAAAAUAAAGACACAAAACUCAACAUUCACACGGUACUGUACACCAUUAACAGGCUUCAACCUCAGCCAAAUACUUCGAAAAGUUGGUCACAGAUUCAUCUCUACUAGGGAGACUAGCUGGAGUUAACGAUAGAUAUUUAGUAAAAUUAUGCAGGUGAAUUUGAUACUGUUGCACAUUCCAGUAUAUGUUUACCUGCGUAAUCAUCUACUAUAUAUUAUGUAUUCACCUCGGAUGAAGUGAAUUUUGGUUAGUAUUUACCUUGACAAUUCUUGGUAAGCCAGUUACUGAAAUUCACUUCAUAAAAGGUGAAUACUUAUAAUAAUAUCUACAUAUGAUAAGAAAUUAUUGCAUGUAGAAUUUUUCACCACUUUAAGAACUUAGAACACACUAUAGUAAAGGUUGUGUGAACUUUUUAUUACAAAUGAAAAGUGAUCACAUCCUUUUAUUUUUAUUUUGUUAAUUCACUAAAUGCUGGUAAAUUAUGCACAUAUGCUGAAACUAUUGACUGGCUGGCUGGCUGGCUUGGAGCCGACUCUAAUUGGAACUAUUCAUUGACAUAUUUUUUAUAAUUUAUUGUACUCACAUCCCCCCCCCCAAUUCUUUUUGAUUUUGCUGUUGUUUUCAUUUACAUUGAUUUUGACACUGAAUGAUGAUAUUAUUUAUGUGAAUAUUGAUUCAUGAAAAAGGUUUUUUCA